CCAUCAAUCCUAUACAUUUUUUUGGUUUAAAUCGAUGAAUUAGAAGUCUUGAGUGAACGGAUUUGAUUUAGUUUUAUCUUCGGGUAGAUGUUGGGGAUUUGAAGUCGUGUUUUUCUUCAAACUUGAUUUGAUUUAGUUUUAUAUUUGUAUUUAGUUUAACAGCAACGUUUGAAACAUUAGGUGAACAGAAUGGAUUCAUUUUUGGUUGCUGGUAUAUACUAUUUAAAAAUUAAUUAUUUUUUAUCUACCUGAAAAGUAUCAAUCUUGGUGUAAUAUUUGUGAUUUACAUUUUGUUGUCUUUUAAUACACUGUUUUUUCUAUGAUAGUUCUGAUUGUGAAAUUGGGCCUUUAACUUUUCUAUUUAUUAUAAGCAAGAUUGGAAUGCUGGAAUUCGUUCAGGAUUCGGAAUACUGGUUCCAACUACCUAUAUCCUUUUUGCCUCAGCUCUUCCAGUAAUUUCAUUUGGAGAGCAAAUAAGCAAAGAUAUUGGUACACUUUUAACUUAAGUUUGGGUAGAAAAACCCUGAAGCCUGGCUUGUUAUCAGCUGUCAAAGUGAUCAUAACCACACAAAACAUUAUUUCUGUUUAUAAAGGAUUACAAGUUUUGUACUGAUUUAUUGCUUAGGAUUGCAGAUGGGAGCCUAAGAACAGUAGAACUUUGGUAUCAACUGCAAUUUGUGGUAAUGCAUAGUACACUUUAUAUUUGGUGGAUAAGCCUCCUUAUUGUACAUACAUGAUGGCACUUAUACAUGUGCAUUUGCAGUCUAACUUAAAUGUGAUCUUACAUACUUCUAAUUUAUUUUAUUUGCAUUUUUUAGCAUUAUGUUUUGUUGCAUCAGCAUCUUAGUUUAUGAGGACAUGACAUUUGUUUGUUUGAACUUUGAAUUUCAGUUGUAUUUUUCCUUUCAGCAAUGUUAUAUUUUGGUAAUCGCUUUUUCGCCUUUUGAUAUUUCAACUUAUGUAAAUAUCCCGAGUGUAUGGCUGUUGGAGCAAUCAUAUAGUGAUUGACUAUGAACUUAAAAAAAUGGCAUAUUUCUACAGCGCAUAAAAGAUGGAAAAGCAACAUAUGUCUUCCUAUUGUUAUUGUUAUCAUUGAUGUUGCUUUGAAACUUCUGCAUUUAGUUUGGGUGUGUUAGAAUAGUUGAAUUGGAUUUGUUUCUAAAAUAAGCUAUUCAUAUAGAGUGGGAUAUUUCCUAAUUUUUCUAUCUAUUUUUAGGAUGAUAGGAUGGUUUACUGUUAAGCUUUCUAGAAUUCAAUUCUUACAUUGUAUUUAUCUUUGUAAUUUCUACUUGGAACAGAAUUAGGUUUCAGUCUUCCCAAACUUCACUUGGUAUCAAAGCCAUACUAGUUCUGUUUAUAAAGGAUUACAAGUUUUUUUCUACCAUUUAUAGCGUUUGCAACAUUUGAGUAAUCAUCUUGGAAUUUUUACCAACAGGAGGGUACAGUACCCUUGAACCUAUAUGUUCAGGAUGAAUUUCAUCGUUCCGCACAAGCGAGGGUUGGAGGUGUCAAAAGCAUUACAAAUUAUGCUCCGGUUUUGAAAUCAUUAAACAGAGCAUGGAACAGAGGCUUCUCUAAUGUCUUAUACCUUGAUUCUAUGAAUAAGAGAUAUAUUGAAGAGGCCUCUUCUUGUUCAGUCUUCAUUUCGAAGGUUUGAAGCACAUCUCUCAAUAGGUAGCAUCUUUUCUAGGUGUGGGUGUUGUCUGGAGGACUGCAAAUGCCGAAUCAGGAUCAACGAUUGUCAUCUUCGAGUUAGGAGCAAUAGGAUUAGUUUUAUGAUCUUCUACCUGAUAGAAUAGGAUGAUUUGCUGCCUAUCUAAUUCAUGAGGAUAAAGAGUUCUAUUUUUUAGGUGCAUAAUUAUAGAUAUAGAGCAUGCUUGCCAUGCUUUUAUUAAAUUUAGAUGUAAUGAUACUUAGUAAAUGGUUUUUAUUUGUUGUUUGAUAAAAUAUUUUUGGAUUCGAUGUUA